GUCACAAGCAUGAACUGCUGCGUUGAGACUCACUGCUAGUAUAACACUUCUUCCCAGCCUCCUCUUACAGGUCUUUCUCUUGACAGCAACCUUGGUAUCUUCAUCAUCCUGCCUUGAAGCUGAAGCUUGAGCAUACUGAAAUUUCAACACCAGAAAAGAUCCUGUACUACAAUAAACCUGGUCUACGUG